AUGAGCGAGCUGCUCCACACAUUCGCGAAUGACAUGGCGUGCCGCAUUGUGUCGGGGAAGUUCUUCCUGAAAGAUGGUCAAAGCAAGUUGUUCGGGGAACUCAUCAAGGAUACCUCACGGCUGCUAGGCGGGUUCAAUUUGGAGGAGUACUUCCCGGCAGUGGGUAGGGUAGGAAUGCUCAAGAAGGCGGUUUGUGCCAAGGCCAAAAGAGUGAGGAACAGAUGGGCCGAUUUGUUGGACAAGGUGAUCGACGAUCGUGUGAGCAAGCGCAAUUCAACGUCUGAUCACAAGGAUGAUGAUUUUGUGGAUAUUAUGUUGUCUGAUGUAUUUUUUGGUGCGAUAGACACAUCAGCUAACGCUCUCAAAUUUACCUUGGCUGAGCUCAUGAGGAAGCCACACCUGAUGGUGAAGCUACAAGAUGAAGUGAGGGGUAUAGUACCCCAAGGACAAGAAAUUAUCAGUGAAACCGACAUGAACAACAUGACGUACCUAAGAGCAGUCAUAAAAGAGUCGCUCUGGCUACAUCCUCUUGCUCCUCUCCUUGCUCCGCACCUUGCCAGGGCUAACUGCAUCAUCGACGGAUACAUAGUUCCUGCUGGGACACGUGUGGCCGUCAAUGCGUGGGCCAUUGGUAGGGACCCGAGCUCCUGGGAGUAUGUGGAAGAGUUCAUUCCUGAAAGAUUUAUACAUGAAGGCAGCAGUAUGCAUGUCAACUUCAAGGGAAAUGAUUUCCAGUUCUUGACGUUCGGAGCAGGACGGAGGAUGUGCCCUGGUAUGAACCUCGGAAUCGCGAAUGUCAAGCUUAUGUUGGCAAACCUUGUGUGCCAUUUUGACUGGGAACUUCCGCUUGAGGUUGAGAGAAAAGAUAUUGAUAUGACAGAGGUGUUUGGGCUAACGGUCCGUCGGAAGGAGAAACUAUUGUUGAUUCCAAAAUCACGCAUGCAAUCGCGAAAAUAA
rnacentral:rRNA from 1 species